rnacentral:rRNA from 1 species
GGGGGAUAUUGCGCAAUGGGGGAAACCCUGACGCAGCAACGCCGCGUGAAGGAUGAAGGUUUUCGGAUUGUAAACUUCUUUUAUUUAGGACGAAGAAUGACGGUACUAAAUGAAUAAGCUCCGGCUAACUACGUGCCAGCAGCCGCGGUAAUACGUAGGGAGCAAGCGUUAUCCGGAUUUACUGGGUGUAAAGGGUGCGUAGGCGGCUUGGUAAGUCAGAUGUGAAAUCUAUGGGCUCAACCCAUAAACUGCAUUUGAAACUGUAGAGCUUGAGUGAAGUAGAGGCAGGCGGAAUUCCCCGUGUAGCGGUGAAAUGCGUAGAGAUGGGGAGGAACACCAGUGGCGAAGGCGGCCUGCUGGGCUUUAACUGACGCUGAGGCACGAAAGCGUGGGUAGCAAACAGGAUUAGAUACCCUGGUAGUCCACGCUGUAAACGAUGAUUACUAGGUGUGGGGGGUCUGACCCCUUCCGUGCCGGAGUUAACACAAUAAGUAAUCCACCUGGGGAGUACGGCCGCAAGGUUGAAACUCAAAGGAAUUGACGGGGGCCCGCACAAGCAGUGGAGUAUGUGGUUUAAUUCGAAGCAACGCGAAGAACCUUACCAGGUCUUGACAUCCAACUAAAGAAGUAGAGAUACAUUAGGUGCCCUUCGGGGAAAGUUGAGACAGGUGGUGCAUGGUUGUCGUCAGCUCGUGUCGUGAGAUGUUGGGUUAAGUCCCGCAACGAGCGCAACCCUUGCUAUUAGUUGCUACGCAAGAGCACUCUAAUAGGACUGCCGUUGACAAAACGGAGGAAGGUGGGGACGACGUCAAAUCAUCAUGCCCCUUAUGACCUGGGCUACACACGUACUACAAUGGAUGUUAACAGAGGGAAGCAAGACAGUGAUGUGGAGCAAACCCCUAAAAACAUUCUCAGUUCAGAUUGCAGGCUGCAACCCGCCUGCAUGAAGAUGGAAUUGCUAGUAAUCGCGGAUCAGAAUGCCGCGGUGAAUACGUUCCCG